AGCAGCCGCGGUAAUUCCAGCUCCAAUAGCGUAUAUUAAAGUUGCUGCAGUUAAAAAGCUCGUAGUUGAAUUUCGGGACCAUCAUGUCGGUCGUGCCUCGGCACGUACUGGCAUUGUUGGUUUCUCCCUUCUGACGAACCAUGAUGUCAUUAAUUUGGUGUCUUGGGGAAUCAGGACUGUUACUUUGAAAAAAUUAGAGUGUUUAAAGCAGGCUCACGCUUGAAUACAUUAGCAUGGAAUAAUGAAAUAGGACGUUUGAUUCUAUUUUGUUGGUUUCUAGGAUCGACGUAAUGAUUAAUAGGGAUAGUUGGGGGCAUUAGUAUUCAAUUGUCAGAGGUGAAAUUCUUGGAUUUAUUGAAGACUAACUACUGCGAAAGCAUUUGCCAAGGAUGUUUUCAUUAAUCAAGAACGAAAGUUAGGGGAUCGAAGACGAUCAGAUACCGUCGUAGUCUUAACCAUAAACUAUGCCGACUAGGGAUCGGAUGAUGUUAAUUUUUUAAUGACUCA
rnacentral:rRNA from 1 species